rnacentral:rRNA from 1 species
GACGAACGCUGGCGGCGUGCUUAACACAUGCAAGUCGAACGGAAAGGCUCUGGUUUUGUGGCGUGCUAGAGUGGCCAACGGGUGAGUAACACGCAAGUAACCUGCCCUCGACAUUGGGAUAACUUAAGGAAACUGGGGCUAAUACAGGCCAGGAGACACUGCUGCUCGGAGGGGGUUGGUAAGAUUCGGCGGUUGGGGAUCGACUCGCGGCUGAUCAGCUUGUUGGUGGGGUAGUGGCUUACUAAGGCUUUGACGGGUAGCCGGCCCGGGAAGGUGACCAGCGACAUGAGGCCUGAGGGACGGCGCAGUCGGCAACGGGACGCAGCGGUGGAGAGUAUGACGCAGUAAGCGGAAGCGAGAUGCGGAAGCUCCGGGUUCGGGAAGACGGGUUGCGAGUUGUGAACGGCUAUCUCCUAUGACGAAGCGUGAGUGACGGUAAUUAGUAAAGAAGCACCGGCUAACUACGUG